GAUUUAAACAAUAACUCCAUAUAAAUAUGCAUCAACUUUGAAUUUUCAGCUCAAACAAAUGAGUAAACUCUGCAAACUUAGCUGCAAAUUUGAACCAAAAUCCCUCAAAAAUGGUGUAACUCAAUCUUGUUUCAGAUUCUUCACAGUUUCAUCAUCUUUACAUCAUCGCUCCGAAGAAGAAAACUAUACUGUUAUUCGUCGUAAUAGACGAACCCAACGCCAUUAUUUAAGCAAAUUAUUAUUCACAUUAUCUACAACCCAUUGUAAAGAAAUCCACACCCAAGUGAUUCUUUGUGGAUUUGAAAACAACCCUUUUCUUAACAACAUCUUGAUUCAAUCAUAUUCGACUAGGGGGUGUUUGGACUAUGCACGCAAAGUGUUUGAUAAAAUGCCUAAAAGGGAUAUGAUUUCUUGGUCUUCUGUUAUUACUAUGUAUACCCAAAAUGGGGUUUAUGAUGAAUCAUUGUCGCUUUUUGCUGAGUUGAGGAGAAGUUGUAAAGAGGGGGAGGGGCCAAAUGAGUUUGUUUUGGCUAGUGUUGUUAGUUGUUGUGGAAGGUUAGGUAGUAUUGUGAAAGGUGAGGAAUUGCAUUGUUUUGUGUUGAAAGCUGGUUUUGAUCAGUUUGUGUAUGUAGGGACGUCUUUGAUUGAUUUUUACUCGAAGGGUGGAGAUGUAGGGUCAGCGAGGCGAGUUUUUGAUGAUUUGGUGGUGAAGAGUACGGCUACUUGGACUGCGAUUAUUGCAGCGUGUGUGAAUGUGGGGAAGAGUGAAAUUUCAUUGCAGCUAUUGAGGAAUAUGUUGGAGACUGAUGUUGCACCUGAUAAUUAUGUGGUUUCGAGUAUCUUGGGUGCUUGUUCGUCGCUUGAGUAUAUUAAAGGAGGAAAGGAAAUUCAUGGUUAUGUGCUUAGACGGGGAGCGGAGAUGGAUGUUAUAGUGAGUAAUGUUCUUAUUGAUUUCUAUAUGAAGUGUGGCAAGGUUAGGACUGCAAGGUCAGUUUUUGAUCGAAUGGAAGUUAAAAACGCUAUUUCUUGGACAACGAUGAUCUCUGGAUACAUGCAGAAUUCUUCUGACUGGGAAGCCAUAAGCAUGUUUAGAGACUUUAACGGUUUGGGUUGGAUUCUAGAUAGAUUUGCUUGUAGUAGUGUACUUAUUUCUUGUGGGUCGGUUGAAGCUUUAGAGCUGGGAAGACAAGUGCAUGCUUAUACCGUGAAAGCUAAUGUCGAUUCUGAUGAAUAUGUGAAGAAUAGCUUGAUUGAUAUGUACGCGAAAUGUAAUUCAUUUGGUGACGCAAGGAAGGUUUUUGACAUUAUGGGUGAUCAUGACGUAAUCUCUUACAAUGCUGUAAUUGAGGGUUGUUUAACGCAGAAUAGGCUAUAUGAAGCUUUUGAUCUAUUUGCUGAAAUGAGAGAGAAUCUGAUUCCUCCAAGCCUUUUGACUUUUGUUAGCUUGCUGGGUGCAUCAGCUUCGCUUUUCUCCUUGGAGUUAAGUACGCAACUUCACGGUCUUACCAUAAAAUUUGGUUUUUCUGCUGACAUGUUUGUUUGUAGCAUCCUAGUAGAUGUUUACUCGAAAUGUUUGUCUAUUGGAGAUGCGAGGCAAGUAUUCAAUGAAAUGAAUGAAAAGGAUAUUGUUGUAUGGAACUCUAUGUUGUUUGGGUACAUGCAACAGUGUGAAAUUGAAGAGGCUCUAAAGCUCUUCCUACUAUUGCGUCAGUCUUUGCAAAAGCCAAACGCGUUGACUUUUGUUGCCCUCAUUGCUGCAUCUAGUAACCUAGUAAGUCUGCUUCAUGGUCUCCAGUUUCAUAACCAGAUUGUAAAACUCGGCCUAGAUUUUGAUCUGCAUGUUACAAAUGCACUCGUCGAUAUGUACUCCAAGUGUGGUAGCUUGGAAGAGGCACGUAAGAUGUUUAAUUCCACUAUCCAGAGAGAUAUCGCGUGUUGGAAUUCUAUGAUAUCCACUUAUGCACAGCACGGAGAAGCAAAGGAAGCUCUUAAUAUGUUUGAGAAAAUGAUAAAAGAUGGAUUGAAACCCAACAAUGUCACCUUUGUUGGAGUGCUUUCAGCAUGUAGCCAUGUUGGUCUUGUAAAAGAAGGAUUUCGUCACUUCUAUUCCAUGGACGGCUACGGUAUUGAACCAGAAAUGGAGCAUUAUGUUUGCAUGGUGUCUCUCUUGGGUCGAGCUGGUAAACUGGUCGAAGCAACGGAACUCAUUGAAACAAUGCCAAUUCCACCGGCCGCCAUUGUGUGGAGGAGUUUGCUUAGCGCGUGUAGAGAAGCUGGUCAUAUUGACCUGGGUAAAUAUGCAGCAUCAAUGGCGAUAUCAAUAGAUCCAAAAGACAGUGGAUCACAUAUCCUACUUUCAAAUAUUUUUGCAUCUAAAGGCAUGUGGAUCAAUGUCAAAAAGUUAAGAGAGAAAAUGGAUAGCAGUGGUGUAGUGAAAGAAAAAGGGUGUAGUUGGAUAGAAAUAAACAAUGAGGUUCAUUUGUUUAUUGCAAGAGACCGAAGUCAUCACCAAACUGAUUUGAUAUAUUCAUUUUUGGAACUUCUGAUUCAGAAUAUGAAAGGAAUCGGAUAUGUUCAUGAGGAUACUACCUUCUCAAAUGAGUAAAAUCUCUAUGUCAUUUUUGCCGUGAUAUGCUAUUAUCAAGAACACACUGAGCUAAGCGGUCGUAGAUGCCCAAAAUGACAAUUAGAAGCAAGUCUUUAUAUUAAAGUUCUAUUGCUGUUGAAAGGUUUCUUCUUUGAUUUGGCAGUGGAGCUUUAUCCAAUCAGACCAGGUACAAAACUGAAACUGUGGCACAAUAUGACCUCUUGCUACAAGGUUUUUGCUCUGAAUGGAAGAUAUGCAAGCAUAAGGAGUGAUACACCAGAUGGAAUCUUGCUGAAUAUGAUCGAUCGGGAGAGUAUUUAUUGCGUGCUGUGUCUCUAAUAUGUUGGGGAUGUGUGUCCUUGCGCAGUUUGGGAUAUGUGUCAAUUCAUACCUGUUGCUUGCAGUUUUGUGGAUAAUCAAUACAUGCAUGAUCAUCGUGACUGAGAACGUGCAAACCGUGUUUGUCAAGCCCCACAAACAAAUAUACCCUUGUGUGUGAUGAUAACUACCUCAGAUAGGAUCUUCUGAUUACUCGACAGAUUAUUGGGAAUCCUAAAUUUCAUUUGCCAGAAGGGAAUGCAUCCUUUGCACCAAGACACGAGGUGGUUGUUGCAUGUAGACUCAAUGGUUACACACAAUUAUGCUCAAAUCCAAUUUCCUGGUGUCAUCCUUCCAAACAGGUUCUCAAUGAAAUGUAAGAAUACGAGCGAUGACACUGUAAGUCUUCUUGAUCAUUUAAUUAUGAACUUGUGAACAAAGUCAAAUGAUUUGUGCUUUUGUGUCUGCAUAGUUAUACUAUAGUAAGAUGUGGCAAUUGAGAUAUCCAUUGAGCUAUUA